rnacentral:rRNA from 1 species
AGACCGAUAGCGAACAAGUACUGUGAAGGAAAGAUGAAAAGCACUUUGAAAAGAGAGUGAAACAGCACGUGAAAUUGUUGAAAGGGAAGGGUAUUGGGCCCGACAUGGGGAGUGCGCACCGCUGUCUCUUGUAGGCGGCGCUCUGGGCGCUCUCUGGGCCAGCAUCGGUUCUUGCUGCGGGAGAAUGGGUGCCGGAAAGUGGCUCUUCGGAGUGUUAUAGCCGGCGCCAGAUACCGCGUGCGGGGACCGAGGACUGCGGCUUCUGUCUCGGAUGCUGGCACAACGGCGCAAUACCGCCCGUCUUGAAACACGGACCAAG